CAACUUCGGUUAUAAGAUCCCUCGAAGAUGACGAGGUUAAUAGGUUCGAGGUGGAAGCGUGGUGACACGUGGAGCUGACGAAUACUAAUCGAUCGAAGACUUAAUCAA
rnacentral:rRNA from 1 species